rnacentral:rRNA from 1 species
AGAGAGAGACAUGCGCGCAUAUCAAUAAGCGGAGGAAAAGAAACUAACAAGGAUUCCCCUAGUAACGGCGAGUGAAGCGGGAAGAGCUCAAAUUUGAAAUCUUAAAGGGUUUCCCUUUACGAAUUGUAGUUUAAAGAAGUGUUUUCUGUUGAGGUUUUGGUAAAAGUUCUUUGGAAUAGGACAUCAUAGAGGGUGAGAAUCCCGUAUUUGACCUUUACUUUCAACUUUGUGAUACACUUUCAAAGAGUCGGAUUGUUUGGGAAUGCAGUCCAAAAUGGGUGGUAAAUUUCAUCUAAAGCUAAAUAUUGGCGAGAGACCGAUAGCGAACAAGUACCGUGAGGGAAAGAUGAAAAGAACUUUGAAAAGAGAGUUAAACAGUACGUGAAAUUGUCAAAAGGGAAGCGUUUGACACCAGUGAUGUUUUUCUGAAAAUCAAUUAAAGAACUGUUUAUGCUAAGCUGUUUAGACUUUAUCAGCUAUCUGUUUAGUUUUGAGCUUUUCUUUAAUGCACUUUUCAGUUAACAAGUCAACAUCAAUUUCUUUUGCUGUAAAAAGGCUUGAGGAAGGUGGCUUGAGAUUCGUCUUAAGUGUUUAUAGCCUCUUGCCUAUGCAGUCGGAGAGAUUGAGGUCUGCAGCGUAGAUCCUUCGGGGCUAAAUGCAUUUGUGCUAAGUUAUAGCAUUUUAUAGACAACUUGUUGACUAUGAUUUGUCUUGUAGCUUACUCGCUUAUGUUAUUUUACCUACGCUUAGGAUGUUGACGCAUGAGAUAUACGC